UACGUAGGGUGCGAGCGUUUGUCCGGAAUUAUUGGGCGUAAAGAGCUCGUAGGCGGUGUGUCGCGUCGGCCGUGAAAACCUGGGGCUCAACUCUGGGCGUGCAGUGGGGUACGGGCAGACUAGAGUGAUGUAGGGGAGACUGGAAUUCCUGGUGUAGCGGUGAAAUGCGCAGAUAUCAGGAGGAACACCGGUGGCGAAGGCGGGUCUCUGGGCCGAUACUGACGCUGGAGGAGCGAAAGCCAUGGGUAGCGAACAGG
rnacentral:rRNA from 1 species